CCUACGGGUGACAGCAGUGGGGAAUAUUGGGCAAUGGGCGCAAGCCUGACCCAGCAACGCCGCGUGAAGGAAGAAGGCUUUCGGGUUGUAAACUUCUUUUCUCAGGGACGAAGCAAGUGACGGUACCUGAGGAAUAAGCCACGGCUAACUACGUGCCAGCAGCCGCGGUAAUACGUAGGUGGCAAGCGUUAUCCGGAUUUACUGGGUGUAAAGGGCGUGUAGGCGGGAAAGCAAGUCAGAUGUGAAAACCAUGGGCUCAACCUGUGGCCUGCAUUUGAAACUGUUUUUCUUGAGUACUGUAGAGGCAGGCGGAAUUCCUAGUGUAGCGGUGAAAUGCGUAGAGAUUAGGAGGAACAACAGUGGCGAAGGCGGUCCGCUGGACAGCAACUGACGCUGAGGCGCGAAAGCGUGGGGAGCAAACAGGAUUAGAUACCCUUGUAGUC
rnacentral:rRNA from 1 species